AGAAUUAACCAUCAAUGAUACAUGUCUCAAAUUUUUAACUCUUGAAAAUAUGUAUCAUCAUCUUAUUAAUUCUUUGGAUGAUUCAUAGACACAUAUACUACAUGAAUGAAAUUAACUGUCCUAAUUAAUUAAGUCAACUACACAAUUAUAUCCUGAAAAGAAUAUUAAUAUUUCGGUCUGAUUGGCUUCAAGGACAUACAUCUAACACUUGGGCAUGGAGGCAUUAGGA
rnacentral:lncRNA from 1 species